GGUGUGGCAAAAUGGCUCGAUAGCGCCACCUAUUAAAUUUCAACGGAGUGCGCCUCGAGCUACGUUUCACGUACAUGCAUGAAAAUUGGUACACACGUGUAGCACACGAUUAUCUACAAAAAAGUAUCUUGGUACAAAAUCCAAAACCCAACAGGAAGUAAGUUAUUUUGAAUUUCCUGUAGGAUUUUUGUGCAGUUUUUGCCAUUUCCAUGCCUCGUACUUUGACGAACUCCUCCUACAGUUUUAAUCGGAUUGUCUUCAAAUUUGGUGAGGGUCAUCAUAAGACCUUUGUGAUGUUAAAUUGCGAAGAUCUUGAGUUUUCGUUGAAGGGCGUGUCCGGGGCGGCCUGACGAAUUUCGAUGAUUCGCCAUGAAAAAUGAAGUUGCUAUAACUCAGACAUACAAUGUCCAAUCUGCCCCAAACUUCACAUGUUUGAUAAGACUCCUGACCUGAACAGAUUGAUAUGCCCAUAUUCAGUUAUAGUCAUAGCGCCACCUACUGGCAACAGGAAGUGACAUAUUUCACGCUGUAACAAACUACCCCGAGAAAUUUUAUGACAUAAAUUUUUUUUUUCAGUCACUCUAUUCUAAAGGCCUGUGCGAUGUUAAAUUGUGAAGAGCUUGAGUUUUCGUUAAAGGGCGUGUCCAUGGCGCCGUCACAAAGUUCGAUGUCUCGCCAUGGGAAUAAAAGUUAUUGUAACUCAGGCAUAAAAUGUCCUAUCUUGGCCAAACUUCACAUGUUUGAUAAGAGUCCUGGCCUGAACACAUCUGAAGGCCAAUAUUCCAUUCGGUGUGGCAAAAUGCCUCGAUAGCGCCACCUAUACAUUUUCAACGGAGUGCGCCUCGAGCUACGUUUCACGUACAUGUACAAAAAUCGGUACACACAUGUAACACACCAAUACCUACAAAAAAAUCUCUUGGUACGAAAUUCGAAUCCCAACAGGAAGUCAGUUAUUUUGAAUUUUCUAUGCAAAAUUUGUGUCGUUUUUGCCAUUUUCAGGGGUUGUACUUUAACGAACUCCUCCUAGAGAUUUAUUCAGAUCAACACC
ensembl:lncRNA